rnacentral:tRNA from 1 species
UGGGGAGUCGUCCAGCGGCAGGACGGCAGACUCUGGAUCUGCUUACAGGGGUUCAAAUCCUCUCUCCCCAGCCA